rnacentral:rRNA from 1 species
UGCCAGACUCCUACGGGAGGCAGCAGUGGGGAAUAUUGGGCAAUGGAGGCAACUCUGACCCAGCAACGCCGCGUGAAUGAUGAAGGUCUUCGGAUUGUAAAGUUCUUUUCUAAGGGAAGAAGAAAGUGACGGUACCUUAGGAAUAAGCCACGGCUAACUACGUGCCAGCAGCCGCGGUAAUACGUAGGUGGCAAGCGUUAUCCGGAUUUACUGGGUGUAAAGGGCGUGUAGGCGGGGACGCAAGUCAGAUGUGAAAACCACGGGCUCAACCUGUGGCCUGCAUUUGAAACUGUGUUUCUUGAGUACUGGAGAGGCAGACGGAAUUCCUAGUGUAGCGGUGAAAUGUGUAGAUAUUAGGAGGAACACCAGUGGCGAAGGCGGUCUGCUGGACAGCAACUGACGCUGAGGCGCGAAAGCGUGGGGAGCAAACAGGAUUAGAUACCCCUGUA